rnacentral:rRNA from 1 species
UACAGAGGUCUCAAGCGUUGUUCGGAUUCAUUGGGCGUAAAGGGUGCGUAGGUGGCGUCGUAAGUCAGGUGUGAAAUUUCGGAGCUUAACUCCGAAACUGCAUUUGAUACUGCGGUGCUUGAGGACUGGAGAGGAGACUGGAAUUUACGGUGUAGCAGUGAAAUGCGUAGAGAUCGUAAGGAAGACCAGUGGCGAAGGCGGGUCUCUGGACGAGUUC